rnacentral:misc_RNA from 1 species
AACGCACGAGACCUGCGGACCUGCGGAAGGAUCAUUAAUGAGAAGCUGCCCCUCGUGGGUAGACCUCCCACCCUCUGUGAACUUACUUUUGUUGCUUUGGCAGGCCCGUCCUCUGGACCGCCGGCUUCGGCUGGCCCGUGCCUGCCAGAGGAUUCCAAACCCUGUCUGUCAGUGUUGUCUGAGUCUAUAUGAAAUCGUUAAAACUUUCAACAACGGAUCUCUAGAUCGGAAGAGCACACG